GCCGAGUCACUCAGACUCUGGGACUGGGACACUCAGAGGCCCCUCCCUGCAGGGCCACCAGAGUGUGGGGAACCUGCCUGGGAAUGCAGCCCAGGUGGAGAAAAGCAGAGCCAGAAGUGGGAGAGUCCACGCCCUGAUCGUGCUGUUGGAGCACCUGAAUCCAGCCGUGCCUGAAGCCCACCACCCCGCACUUUCUGGCAGCACAAACAGAUUUAAAACCAGGCAUGAGGCUGCCGGGCAGCUCUGACCUAGAACAGCCACCUUGUUUUACGGCUGAGGACAGGAGGGCUGAGAAGGAAAGCCCUGUCCCUGCAGGGGCUAAUGAAUGAGAGGAGGGAGAAUGAGCUACCCCCGGGAAGAAUCAAAUUCCGGAGGCAGGUGACCUCUGGGGCAGGCUGCAAGGACGCGGGCCUAGGGAAUGGCUGCCUUCUUCUCUGGGUUUUUCUUUAAACCGCACUGCUCAGCCCAGCCAUUUCCAGGAGGCCUCGCCAUGGGCACACGCUGAGGCAGGUGGCGGCGCCCGCCUGGCCAUUGGCAGACGUGGCUGUGCUAGGCGCCUUUUCUUUCUCAGCAGGACCCGGGGUGAGGAAAGAGACAUGCCGGUCACUCAAUGAAAUAACCAUGGAAACGCUGGAUUCAGCGGAGGCGUCCACCUGCCCAGCCGCUCCCCCCGGAACUUCCUCCUUCAGUCCGGGGACCGCAUCCAGCUUCUCCGGGGCCCGCGUGAAACAGGCUCGCCCCUCACCCGGCAGCCACCCAGAGUCCCGGCUUAUCCAUCACUGUCAGGCUCCGAGAGCAGCUCUGUUCUGAAUGCCCGGCCGCUUCUGCAACACACAGGAGGGAACAGGGGUCCACGUGAGACCGGCCACUGGCAGAGGCCUGGGUCAGGCUGAAAGGUGCCUUGCGAGAUGGGCACUCGCCAGCCUGCUCCAGCCAGAGCCCAGUUCCUUCUGAGAAUCACACGGCCAGACAGAGGCUUGCUGAGAAGUGGGUGUCCUCCUCUCUGUCCAGCCCCAGCUGCACGGAAGCGAAGCCGGCCCCAGCGUGACUGAGUCCAGAGCCCAGCCCUGAGCACUCACCAAGGGCCAGGACGAGUCAGUGUGUGGGGCAGGUGCCGCCCCCACGACCUCAUUCCCAAGCUCCCUCUGUGUCCCCGCAGCCCGUGCUGGCCAGGGAGGCAGGAGGGCAUGGCAGGUGCUCCCAGAGCUCGCUUCUCUGCGCGUUCCCGCCGCCCUCCCUCCCUGGUCCUGCGGGCUGCCGGCCUCAGGAUCCAGGUCACCUUAGGUGGCAAAGUUGGAGCCGUGCCCCACCUGCCUUCACUGGCUCAUGUUGACUCCUUCAUCUACGAGACAGUCUGAGCUUGAGGCUUGGAAACUCUCCUCUGCCGGACCUAGCUCUGGGCCAUGGAUGCACAGAGCCCUGAGCUCAGAGACCAGGAGAGGCUGGCACCAUGCUCCACCCAGCAGGUGGCUCCAGGUCAUCUGGAGUGUCCCAAAGCUGCAAGGCUGAGGGAGGCUCCCCCUUCCUGGAGGGGCCCAGGCAGCCCUUGGGAUGGAGCCAGGGACGGUCCCUGACCCCAGGAGCUCCCUCUCCUCCCACGCCUUCCACAGACCCAUCUCCCUCAGGACUGCCUUAACUUGGGGUCACCUAGAAAUAGGUUUAUGGGGAGGCCAUCCCAGGGAACUUUCGCAGGAAUGAGGGCUGAGAUGGGGAAGGGCUGUUGUCACCACCAUGGGGGAUUGCUCCAGUGAGAGGGCCAGCACGGGACCCUCAGAGUCUUCCCACCCAAGGGUCAUGAGAUCCGGGUCAGAGGUCACAGGCUGCUCCUAGGGCCUCUAGAUCUCUGGAGAGCCCUUGGCUGCAGUUUGCCGAUGCCAAUGGCUGGAGGUCAGCUGGCACUCCCACCACGAUGGCCAGCGGACAACAACAGUGUGGGCACAGUGAUGGGCACCCCCCCGUGUCCACUCGGCCGGGCUGCAGUGCCCAGCGGCACGGUCAAGCCCCAUCCAGAUGCCACUGUGGCUGUGCUGCAGGUGUGAUGGACACGCACAAUUGGCUAAUUGCAAGUGCUGCAGAUCACGAGAUGUGGCUGGGCCUCAGCUGCAGCUGAAGAUGAACGCCGAGGCUUCCUGGAGAAGGAUUUCUGCCCCAAGACUGCAACAUAAAAUCCUGCCCGGGCUCCCAGCCUGCUCCCCUGCGGGUCUGCCCUGCAGAUUUCAGAUUCAUCAGCCUGGACCAUCACAUGGGCCAGCGCAUUAAAUCAAUCUCCCUGUGUCUGUGUCUCUGUCUCUCUCCCUCCAAAGGGCGCUGACUGAUACGGGACCCUCUGUGUCUCUGCCUCAGGGCCAGGCUCCAGCCCCCGAGAGCCCCUGGUGGCUCAGCCUCUUCCCCACAGCCCUGCCCUCCACGAGGACGCUUUCGGCCCUUGGUGCUCUCUGUGUUACGGAUUUAUAGGGCUGUGCCCUGGGCCUGGACCUAAGGGGGUCGGGAGCAAUGUCUGGACUUCCUGCCACCCUCAAGGUACGCAGGUAUGUGUGUGCUCAGGAUGAUUUAUGUAGAGGAAACUGGGGGGAAACUCCUUGCAAAUAAACCUCUGAGAUCCUACAGACCUCAGGGGGAUGG
rnacentral:lncRNA from 10 species